rnacentral:lncRNA from 1 species
UGUCAAAGGUCAAUCCUUUUCCAACAAGAGCAAGUUUGGUCUUAACAUCGCCACUCUUAGGUUUAUACACAAGGUGAAUGAAGAAAGGAGGAUUAGCCGAGGCAUACUUGUUUGCGCAGCUCUUCAUGUUCCUGUGGACUCAUCCUGUAGUGGGGUCUGUUAGGCAACCCAGCGCCGGGAACUAGAUCAAUUUGGUGCUGAAUGUCUCUGAGCGGUGGCAACCCGAGAGGCAAUUCUUGAGGGAAAAUAUCCUCAAACUCGUCAAGCAAACGAGUGAUGCUAGGGUCGACCGAAGACUGUGUAGCUGCUACUGGAUCGACUGCCAAAAGGGCCACAGCGAAAUCUGCAGUCCGUAGCUCUUGCGCAAAUGCAGCCGCUGAACAGAACAAAACUGUAUUACUAGACCCAGUUCCUUCUGCCACACGAGGGUCUAUUGUACGAGGUUGAGACGUCUGAGGCUGCUCCGGUGGAAGUACUUCGUUUGUUAGUAACACGAUGCGACGGUUCUCAAAGAAAAAUGUAUAGACAUUGCUUCGUCCACUAUGUGAAACAUCUCUAUCGUAUUGCCAGGGUCUGCCCAACAAUAUGUGACUUACGUCCAUAGGAACAACAUCGCAGUAGAUUUUAUCCUUGUAGUGCGCUCCAAUAGAUAAUGACACAAGGACGCGAUGAGUCACCCUUAUCGCUGAUCCUUCUUUUAGCCAAACCAACUUGUAGGGUGUAGGGUGAUCCGAACGACGUAGUCCCAAUUUGUUCACUGCCUCCUCAGAAAUCACAUUACGACUGCUGCCUGAAUCAAUUACAUAACGGCAAAUCUUCCCUUUAACAGUGCAUGUUGAUGUGAAGAUAUUAGUACGCAACCAUGGUUGAUCGUUCUGCCUCAUUGGUGCAAGACAAAUACGACGCAGCAUCAGUAAAGUUCCUUGGUCACCUUCGUUGCAAUCAUCCAUAAUCUGGUCUAGCAAAUCUUCUUGCUGGUCCGUACCAUCCUCGUCCCACUUGACAUCCUCAACUAACAGUCCCCGACGAUUUGCGUUAGGACAAGCCGUCUGUCUGUGACCAUGUUCCCCACAUGUGAAACAACGCAACGCGUUUGGACGCGAAGAACGACGAAGUUCCUCUGUUGGCAACGGAGUUCGCGUCGUUACCGGGGGACGUUGCCCGUCAGCUGUUUCCUUGGUGCUCUGACCUUGCGUUGACGCGUCGACUGUAGUGUUUUGGGGUCGUUGUCGCGCAGAAUUCGACCAUCCUUGAGUUGUCGAUUUGAACUGAGACUCGAAUGCUACAGCUCGCCUGUGAGCUUCAGCCACCGUCAGAGGAUCAAACUGAGACAUUGCGUUCUGUAUCUGAGGUUUCAACCCUCCAAUGAAUCGCGACACCAAUUGGAUUUCACUAUCAAAGAUCUCAGUACGAGUCAGUAAUAAAGUGAAUUCCUCCGCAUAAUCAUCAACACUCCGAGAUCCUUGACGCAAGUUCUGGAGUCUGUUGUACAUCGUGCGGUCAAAGUUGUAUGGUAAGAACGCUUUGCGAAGCACCUUUUCCAGCUUACUCCAUGUGUUGAUGUUCGACUUACCCGCACGAGCUCGGGUUGCUUUGACUUGCAACCACCACGAGGCCGCCUUGCCUCUAAAUUUUGUUGCGACCAGUGCAACCUUCCUCUCCUCUGGAACUCUUUUAAAUUCCAAUACCUCCUGGACUGCAACUAGCCAAUCCAAUAGUUCUUCGCCCCGUACUCCACCAUGGAAUUCAGGAAUUUCCACCUUGAAACCUAUCUCCCAGCUUCUGUCCACAUGAUCACGAUUUGGCAGGUUCAUUCUUCGGUCUUGUCGAAGUUCGUCUUCGGCGAAGGGGUUGUCCUCCACGUCGGUUGACUCAUCGUCAAAGAGAACGCGCCUCCUAUCACGAUCGUGUUGUUGCUGGACUACAGCAUCUGUAAUCUCCCUUACAGCAUUCUGGAUUGUUGUUUGAAAGUUUACUUGCAUAUCACGGAGUGUGUUACGCAACUCCUCCCAAUCAUUCAAUGGUAACUCGUUUGCGUUGGCGCGCCGUGGAGCCAUUCUGUUAAGAAUCCCCAAAAAAAAAAGGUCGGAAACGUACUUGCUCUGAUACCAAAACUGGCGCAGCACAAGGGUUUAAAAACGAAGUUCGUUUAGUCUGAAGAAUACCCGAACGACGAGAAGCUCCGAGUUCGUUGAUUCAGAAUAGAAUGCCGAAAUCAAGAGAGAAUAUGAACUUGAAUAGUUCUUAUGAUUAAUGAAUAAAGCGUGAUGUUCUUCACGUUACAAGCUUGUAUAAAUAAUAAAACCAAAUCCCAACUACUACUAAGAUAAGGAUAACUCCAACUAAAGAUAACGACGAAAUCUAAAGAUAAUGAUAAAACCUAAUUAACUAAAUAAAACCAAAUGGAACGUUGAAUGUCGGUUCUCCCCACGUACGAAGAAUAGUGGCGCGAACCGUUGAACAGGUAAGGAUGCGCUGCAUCAAUAAGUGACACCAGUAGCAAGCUCUGUAGAACACGUUAGAGUGACCCCAGUAACGGCAAAGCACAUGUGACUAUAAAAACAAUUUAAUGAUUUAUUUUUAAAAUCUCAACUAGUUAAAAAUAAAAUAAGAAACGCUUAUCAUAAAAAGUUACGUAUAAUUAUCUACAGGUGAUUGUAUUUUUUUAUUUUAAAACUAUUGUAUUUAGAAAAUAAAUUAGUUUAUUAAGUUAGUUUUAGUUCAAUAAUUUUCUUAAAUAAUUACUCAUAAAUAAAAUUGAUUUAAAAUCAGUUACUAAUGUUUUUGUAAUCUACCAAAUUUUAAAAUUCUAAAAUUGUUUAAGUUGAUAGAUUUUAAUAUCUAUGCAGUAUGCAUUGAAUUUUGAAUUUAAUCGUUUAUUCAUAAGAUUUUAUAAGAAAUAAUUUGAAAUCAAUCGAAAAUACAAAAAACAAAAAUCUUUAAAAACUUGAAGAACACUAGAUUUUUAAAAAUGAAAUGAAAUCAUUCAUUGAAUAACACUAGGUUUUAAAAUAGAAUUUAUAAGCAUCAUUCGAAUAACAGUGGAUUGUGUUUAGAUUUAAACUUAAUUAAAAUGCAUAAUUGAAUAACACAACCUACAAUUUGUUAAAAAAAAGAAGCAAAUCUAAUAUUAUCAAGAUUUUAAAUAUUUCAAUUGUAAUUAUUUUCAAAAAAAAAGAAAGAUAAAUACUAUUAACUGAAACUAAAAGUAAUAAUAACAUUUAGUCAUAGAAACAAUUAACCAAUGUUUGAAAAACGGACCGAACAAAUGUUCGACAUUGUAAUUGGGUCAAUGGUCAGACCGGUUCAACCGGGUUUCAAAUUUUAAUUUAAUUUUAAAUUAAUUAAAUAUAUAUGUAUAAUUAUAAAAUUAUGUUUAUAAAAUUUUACCUCAUUACUAGAACCUAACUAAAAUUGAUACAUAAAUAAAAUGAAAACUUAAAAUAUAGUAUAAAAAUACAAUGAAAACUAAUUUAUUUAGAAAUAUAUAUUUUAAAAUAUGAUUUUUAAUGAACAUAAUCUAAAAGUUGCAAUUUUUAAUUUUCAACUUGAAUUUAAGAUAACCGCAUUUUAAUAUUGAACCGGGUUAAUGAUUUACCAGUUUUUUACCGGGUUUACCAGUUUAACUUCAAUCCGAUUUUUAGUACAACUCAUAAUCUAGGGAUGUCAAAUGGGUUUAAUGACCAUGGGUUAGCCAAGACCAAACCCAAAUGGUCUGACUAUAUUAGGCCUAAAAAUUAGAGUUGUCCAAUUGGACCGAAACUCAUUAACUCCAAAUUCGAUGGGCAAAAACCAUUUAGACAUGGGCGUCCAAUAAACUAAAAAAAUAUAGAGUUUUUAAGUUGAGAAAAAAAUAAAAUCAAUUUUUUUCUGUUAAAACUGCAAAACCGUAAAAUCACAUUUUUCCGCCAAACCGCAAAAUCACAUUUUCCCGUCAAAACCGCAAAAUCAUGUUUUCCCGCCAAAACUGCAAAAUCACGUUUUCCACCGAAACCAUAAAAUCACAUUUUUGUAAAUCGCAAAAUUGCGUUUUCUCGCUAAAACCGCAAAAUCAUGUUUUUCCACCAAAGCCGCAAAAUCAUGUUUUCGUCAAAUUUGCAAAAUUGUGUUUUCUUGCUAAAAUCGUAAAAUCACAUUUCUUACAUUGUAUAUGUAUUUUUAUAUAAAUUGAAUAAGAAAUUAUGUUUUUUAUAGAUUUAGUAUACUAAAGUAGAAAUUUUAUUUAGGCCCGCGAGCAAUCCAUUUAGAAUGGUCUAUUUGGAUUUGGACUAGGUACAAUUUAGGCUUACGAAAUAUAAUGUCUUAUAAACUGCUUUGUCAUUUAGACAUAUCUAUUAGACAUGAACAUUCCAAUUGACAUUUUUACCAGCAUCGGUUAAAAGAGCGAAUCACAGUCCAGUUUUUAGAACACUGCACUUAACUCAUUUCUCAAUGAUAUUAUAGAAAUCUUAAUUUAUUUUUUCAAGAACAGAAGAACCAAUGUUGAAGAUUCAGAAGUUUCAAACAGAUUUUUUGCACGACAUAAGCAAAAGACCCCUUUUAUUCAACACCUGAUAACGUAACUGUUCGGAACAAGUAGACCAAAUCCAAAACACGAUAACUUUUGACAACCUUAUUAAAACCAGUAACCACAACAUCCGAAACACUUUAUUUCAUCCUCUAUGAAGAAGAAUUAGUCUGCACCCAUUCCACAAGCGUAGCAACACCAAACCCAGUCCCAGAUUUCUUCUUUUCGUUCCACACUGGCCCAGCCAUGUCUAUAUGCAUCCAUUGUACUUUCUCGCUCACAAACUGAGAGAAACCAAGAUUUUAGCAGAUUGUUUUGUCAUUUUUUAACAUUAUUUAAGAUCAAAAACAUGUGCAGAUUGUUUUGUCAUUUUUCACAAUUAUUUUAUAUCAAUAACAUGCUAUAGUCUUUAAAAAAAGUAUUUGAUUUCACCUGUUUCAGGAAGAGAGCUGCGGUGAUGGAACCUCCUGCACGCCCGCCUGUGUUGACCAUAUCAGCACAUCCAGACUUCAUCAUCUCCCAAUAGCUCUCCUCUAAUGGCAUCCUCCACAGCUUCUCUCCACUCUUCUCUGAUGCAGCAAUCACUUCCUUUGCAAGCUCGUCGUUAGGUGUGUAGAUACCUGCCAAGUGAAAAGCACCGAACAAUUAACCAUCACGAGCCAGUAUUGAUCAAAGAAUCCCAGCACAAAAGUAAGACAAAGAUGAAUGGUUUCUUUAUGGCUAUUUAACUACAUACCUGCCACUGAUGUUCCCAAAGCAAUAACACAGGCUCCAGUCAACGUAGCGAGGUCAACAAUCUGCAAGUUUGUUGAAUUUUUAAUAGAAACAAGCCUCUAUAGGUUCUCUUAUCAAUAAACGAAGGAUAACCAACGCAAUACCUUGUCAACGCCUUGGUUACAAGCAUACACUAGAGCAUCAGCAAGUGUUAGACGACCUUCAGCAUCGGUGUUGUUCACCUGAAAACACCAUUGCCAACACUUAGCACCGCCAUACAAAGUAAAAGCUUGAACUUAAAACUAACAAAAAAUAUUCUCUGAUACCUCAAUGGUCUUUCCGUUUGAGGCCGUGAUGACAUCUCCAGGUCUCAUUCCAGUUCCACUAAUCAUAUUCUCACAGGCUGCAACGAUGAAAUGAACCUGUUUGUGGAAGAUCAAUUGGUUAGUUUCAAUAACAUACUCUAGUCUAGCUUCACAAGAACUUGAUGGGGGAAGAAGCUAACCUCAACACCAGGAGGCUUAAUCUCACCAAUGGCUUUAGCAGCACCAAGAACAGCAGCUGAACCACCCAUGUCGAAUUUCAUGAGCUCAAUGGAGCAGCCAGGUCCAGUCUUAAUGUUGUAGCCGCCACUAAGAACAAAAAACUUUCAAUCAACAACAACAAGAAACAAGAGACCAAUACAAAGCAGAUGUCAAAUCCUCACCUGUCAAAGGUCAAUCCUUUUCCAACAAGAGCAAGUUUGGUCUUAACAUCGCCACUCUUAGGUUUAUACACAAGGUGAAUGAAGAAAGGAGGAUUAGCCGAGGCAGCAGCAACCGCUAGAUAAGAUCCCAUCUUCAACUCCUUGCAUUGCUCCUCGUUCAAGAUGUUCGCUGUAAACACAUCACUGUACGUAGAAGCCACUUUUGCUGCUUCCUCAGCCAACA